GUCGAACGAGUUUCGUUUGGUAGCAAUACUGAGCGAAGCUAGUGGCGAACGGGUGCGUAACACAUGAGUCAUCUGCCCAAAAGUGGGGAAUAGCUCGGCGAAAGCCGGAUUAAUACCGCAUGUGGUCGUAAGACCAAAGCCGGGGCAACCUGGCGCUUUUGGAGGAGCUCGUGGCCUAUCAGCUAGUUGGUGAGGUAACGGCUUACCAAGGCAACGACGGGUAGCUGGUCUGAGAGGACGACCAGCCACACUGGAACUGAGAUACGGUCCAGACACCUACGGGUGGCAGCAGUCGAGAAUUUUUCUCAAUGGGGGAAACCCUGAAGGAGCGACGCCGCGUGGAGGAUGAAUGCUUUCGGGUUGUAAACUCCUGUCAUUUGGGAACAAGGCCUUACGUUAACUGCGUGGAGGAUUGAUAGUACCAGAAGAGGAAGAGACGGCUAACUCUGUGCCAGCAGCCGCGGUAAUACAGAGGUCUCGAGCGUUGUUCGGAUUCAUUGGGCGUAAAGGGCGCGUAGGCGGCGGGGUAAGUCUGGUGUGAAAUCUAGGAGCUCAACUCCUAAACUGCACUGGAUACUGCUCUGCUAGAGGACUGGAGAGGAGACUGGAAUUCACGGUGUAGCAGUGAAAUGCGUAGAUAUCGUGAGGAAGACCAGUGGCGAAGGCGGGUCUCUGGACAGUUCCUGACGCUGAGGCGCGAAGGCCAGGGGAGCAAACGGGAUUAGAUACCCCGGUAGUCCUGGCAGU
rnacentral:rRNA from 1 species